rnacentral:rRNA from 1 species
AUUGAACGCUGGCGGCAUGCCUUACACAUGCAAGUCGAACGGUAACAGGUUAAGCUGACGAGUGGCGAACGGGUGAGUAAUAUAUCGGAACGUGCCCAGUCGUGGGGGAUAACGUAGCGAAAGCUACGCUAAUACCGCAUACGAUCUACGGAUGAAAGCGGGGGAUCGCAAGACCUCGCGCGAUAGGAGCGGCCGAUAUCAGAUUAGGUUGUUGGUGAGGUAAAAGCUCACCAAGCCUGCGAUCUGUAGCUGGUCUGAGAGGACGACCAGCCACACUGGAACUGAGACACGGUCCAGACUCCUACGGGAGGCAGCAGUGGGGAAUUUUGGACAAUGGACGCAAGUCUGAUCCUGCAAGGCCGCGUGCAGGACGAAGGCCUUCGGGUUGUAAACUGCUUUUGUACGGAACGAAACGGUGAGCUCUAAUACAGUUUGCUAAUGACGGUACCGUAAGAAUAAGCACCGGCUAACUACGUGCCAGCAGCCGCCGUAAUAC